GACGGAGGAGGCUAGCGUUGUUCGGAAUUACUGGGCGUAAAGCGUGUGUAGGCGGUGAGGUAAGUCAGGUGUGAAAUCCCACGGCUCAACCAUGGAAGUGCACUUGAUACUGCUUCGCUUGAGUACUGGAGAGGUUGGUGGAAUUCUUGGUGUAGAGGUGAAAUUCGUAGAUAUCAAGAGGAACACCGGUGGCGAAGGCGGCCAACUGGACAGAUACUGACGCUGAGACACGAAAGCGCGGGGAGCAAACAGGAUUAGAAACCCUAGUAGU
rnacentral:rRNA from 1 species